AGCGAACGCUGGCGGCAGGCUUAACACAUGCAAGUCGAGCGGGCCUCUCCAUAUGUCAGCGGCAGACGGGUGAGUAACGCGUGGGAACGUACCUUUUGGUUCGGAACAACACAGGGAAACUUGUGCUAAUACCGGAUAAGCCCUUACGGGGAAAGAUUUAUCGCCGAAAGAUCGGCCCGCGUCUGAUUAGCUAGUUGGUGAGGUAAUGGCUCACCAAGGCGACGAUCAGUAGCUGGUCUGAGAGGAUGAUCAGCCACAUUGGGACUGAGACACGGCCCAAACUCCUACGGGAGGCAGCAGUGGGGAAUAUUGGACAAUGGGCGCAAGCUUGAUCCAGCCAUGCCGCGUGAGUGAUGAAGGCCCUAGGGUUGUAAAGCUCUUUUGUGCGGGAGGAUAAUGACGGUACCGCAAGAAUAAGCCCCGGCUAACUUCGUGCCAGCAGCCGCCGUAA
rnacentral:rRNA from 1 species